rnacentral:rRNA from 3 species
GAUUAGGAGACGUUGAAUACAAAACACCACCAUCAGGCGGGUCGUUCCUGGCUAGUCUCGCGCAAGCGGGGCUGGUGGGGGCGAUUCGUUUCCCUGAUGGCCCGGUGAAUGACUCC